rnacentral:rRNA from 1 species
GACGAACGCUGGCGGCGUGCCUAAUACAUGCAAGUCGAACGCGCUCUCGUUUAGAUUGAAGGAGCUUGCUCCUGAUUGAUAAACAUUUGAGUGAGUGGCGGACGGGUGAGUAACACGUGGGUAACCUGCCCUAAAGUGGGGGAUAACAUUUGGAAACAGAUGCUAAUACCGCAUAAAACCUAAACACCGCAUGGUGUAGGGUUGAAAGAUGGUUUCGGCUAUCACUUUAGGAUGGACCCGCGGUGCAUUAGUUAGUUGGUGAGGUAAAGGCUCACCAAGACCGUGAUGCAUAGCCGACCUGAGAGGGUAAUCGGCCACACUGGGACUGAGACACGGCCCAGACUCCUACGGGA